CGCCAGGGCCCGCUCUGACCACCGGAUAUCCGGUCCGAGCGCGGCAGGAUGGCGUUGGCUCCUGGCGCGGCCGGCGGGAUCCCCUUUGUUCUGGCCUCGCGUGUUGCUCUUCGGAGAUUCCAUCACUCAGUUUUCUUUCCAGCAGGGUGGCUGGGAGCGGGCGCUGGCUGACAGACUGGUCAGGUGCCGGGACUGACGCCACAGCCGGGCCCCUUAGAAAAUGACGAUGUUCUGAAUCGUGGAUUUUCCGGUUGUAACACCCGCUGGGCCAAAAUCAUCCUUCCGAGAUUGGUGGGGAGCAGGGACAGCCCUGCAGUGGUGACCAUUUUCUUUGAGCGCCAAUGACAGCUCUCUGAGAGACGAGAACCCCAGGCAGCACGUCCCCCUGGAGGAGUACACGGCCAACCUGAGCGCCAUGGUGCGGUACCUGCACUCCGUGGGCGUCACCGGGCCGUGUCGUCCUGGUCACGCCACCCCCACUGUGGGAGGCCGCCUGGGAGGGAGGAGUGCGUGGCGCAGGGGCCGGACGGCGCAGUGGGGCCUGGUGGGGCCCUGGGGAGACAGGAUGGGGAGCUGCUGUGGGCCCUGCUGCUUUGUCUGCGUUCGAGCGGAAGUGGAGACACCGCUCCCUUACACCGUACUGAGACAGGAUUCCCAGCACUCGGGAGGCUGAGGCCAGUCUCAGAAAACAAGGGGAUUUGUUCUGGCUUUGGCCAAGACUGGACCCCUAACCUGGCAUCUGCUGACCUGUAUAGCUGCCAGGCUCCAAGAGGCCAGCGACACCCCCGAACUGGGCGGGAGGGGGCACCAGCUGGCCCAGGAGGUCACAUGGGGCUGAUUUCCACCCUCACCUGCAUCUCUGCUGCCCCGCUGGUCCUGGCAUCUGGAGGCAUGUGCAGGACAGGGCUCUGGAUGAGGGCCACCUUCAUGGCCAGCCAUGUUUCUCACCCCGCCACGCGCAGCUGGGCCACCUCACCCCCACCCGAGGUGUGCCGCUGAUGCCACAGCCUGCUCAGGCUUGGUGGCUGGCCUCCUUCCUGUGCGGAAGCUCGCUCCGUGCUCCACUCCCCAGAGUUGAGUCUGUCGCCCUUGCUUGCAGUUGGGUGGGUGCUGUCGUCCUGUGGAGCCUGAAGUCUCCGUCCCACAGCUGUGAGGGCGACAGUUCCCGGGAUCACGAGGUCUCCAUCCCGCCUGGCUGGCCAUGCACCAGCACCCCGGGCGCUUCCCUGCUCCCAUGCCCUGCCUGGUCACCGCGGCUGCUCGUUGCUGCCUGCCUGCACCUUGGUCCUGUGGCCUCUGCUGACUGCACAGAGCUGUGCCCACCCCUGGCCUGUGACACCCAUGGCCAGGGCCCGCAGUCCAGCACUGCCAUCUGCUGUUGUGCCUGCAG
rnacentral:lncRNA from 1 species